rnacentral:rRNA from 1 species
GAUGAACGCUAGUGACAGGCCUAACACAUGCAAGUCGAGGGGCAGCACAUGCGUAGCAAUACAAUGGUGGCGACCGGCGCACGGGUGAGUAACACGUAUGCAACCUACCUGUAAGAGGGGAAUAACCCGGAGAAAUUCGGACUAACACCGCAUAAUACCUCGAAGCUGCAUGGCUUUGAGGUUAAAUAUUUAUAGCUUACAGAUGGGCAUGCGUAACAUUAGAUAGUUGGUGAGGUAACGGCUCACCAAGUCAACGAUGUUUAGGGGUUCUGUGAGGAAGGUACCCCACACGGGUACUGAGACACGGACCAGACUCCUACGGGAGGCAGCAGUGAGGAAUAUUGGUCAAUGGGCGAGAGCCUGAACCAGCCAAGUCGCGUGAAGGAAGAAGGUUCUAUGGAUUGUAAACUUCUUUUGUAAGGGAAUAAAAAAGCUUACGUGUAGGCUAUUGUAUGUACUUUACGAAUAAGGAUCGGCUAACUCCGUGCCAGCAGCCGCAGUAACAC